rnacentral:tRNA from 2 species
GGCUCCAUCGUCUAUCGGCUAGGACACCGCCUUCUCAAGGCGGGAAGCGGGGUUCGAUUCCCCGUGGAGUCACAA